AUGGAUGUAGAACACUUGAAUGCAGGUGGUAUCUUCUCCAGUUUUCACCAGAUGGACACAGGUGACUCUGGAAUAUGGCUCAAUACACCAGACAGUUCCUGUAGGUACAAGUCCAGUGUCUGGUCCCCGCCUUGCCCCCUCCUGCAGAUGGGCUAUGAGAGGGUUUUUGAGAUGCUUUAUUUUGUGUCUCCAAUAUUGUUUGUUUAUUUCAAGAUAGUUUUAGACUUAACUUCUGGUUUCUUCAGUGAUCUGUUGUUCAUUUCACAGUGUGUUGGUUACAGGCCAUGUUUUUGUGGAAUUAUCCAAACAGAAGAAUCUUAUUCCUUUGUGGUCAGACAUGAAUCACUGUUGCUGCUCUGCCACCGUCCCCGUGGUCUGCGCUUCUUUCUGGCUCUCGCAGCAGAAGCCACCACCGCCGCCCUGGAAUCACACUGGCUUCACUUCCUCCCCCUCUUCUUCCUCUUCUUGCUGAGCCACUUGCUUCCUAGCACUCUGACCUUUGUCUCUGUCCAGCAGCAGGAGCCCUUCAUCCUGGAUGGCCUGGUUGCGCUGCUUGGCUUUUCUGCUAGUGGUUACUCCAGGACCCUCCUGAUGGUGACCACAGCUCCGCUGCCUUUACCCUGGAUCCUGGACUCCCGGGUGCUGACCUUGACCCUCUUCCUCCCUCACUUCCUAGGGGGAGACAGCUCCUGUGUGAUCCCCCAACCUCGCGCUCCAGUAGCUCUGCCUAACUGCAGCCCUGCAAUGGGGGAGGCACCUUCACCCCAUGAUGGGGGAGGCACCCUUCAGGCGGUACAGAAGAAGUGGUGAAACAAGUAUGGGUCAGCCUGGCUGGUCAGCUGUCUGGCCGCUUCCACCAGUAUCGCAGCACCGACAUGCUGGAGGGUGGCCCAGCCGGGUGGCAGGACAUAGGGUGCAGGAGAUCCCAGGCCAGGCCACUGUCUUGUGCCUGGCUCCUGGGACGGCAAGCCAACUGAGGGAGCGAACCUGGUCCCUGGGCCACUGUGACCCGCAGCACCUGGCCAACUGCUGCUCAGAGAAGAGGUUUUAAAAUCAAAGAUGGGGCCGGCACCGUGGCUCAAUAGGCUAAUCUUUGCCUUGCAGCACUGGCACACUGGGUUCUAGUCCCGGUCGGGGCACCGGAUUCUGUCCCGGUUGCCCCUCUUCCAAGCCAACUCUCUGCUGCCCAGGGAAUGCAGUGGAGGAAGGCCCAAGUGCUUGGGCCCAGCACCCCAUGGGAGACCAGGAUAAGCACCUGGCUCCUGCCAUCAGAUCAGCACGGUGUGCUGGCCGCAGCAUGCCGGCCGCAGCAGCCAUUGGAUUGUGAACCAACGGCAAAGGGAAGACCUUUCUCUCUGUGUCUCUCUCUCUCACUGUCCACUCUGCCUGUCAAAAAAAAAAAUCAAAGAUGGGAAAAUCAGAGAGUUACCCUUUCCCACCGCCAGCUUGUUAAUGGUAUACACGUGAGGGAACAACCAAAAUUAAACAGACAGAAAAGCAAACCUAAGUUGCCAGUAACCAAGAUCACUCCUGCCAAAAAAAGAAAUGAAAGUAACUUACAGCAGGACUCUGUUUCAUCUGAUAGAAUUCAGAAGCAGGAAAAAAAGCCUUUUAAAAAUACAGAGAAUAUUAAAAACAUGCAUUUGAAGAAAUCAGCAUUUCUAACUGAAGUGAGCCAAAAGUAAAAUUAUGCUGGCAUGAAAUUUAGUGAUCCACCAUCUCCUACUGUUCUUCCAGAGCCUCCUAGUCACUGGAUGGGAAGCCCUGUUGAAAAUUCCAACCAAAAUGGGGAGCUGAUGGCCAUGCACUUGAAAACACUGCUGAAAUUCAAACUUAAGAUUUCAGAUUUCAAUACAUAUGUAAAACAUAGUUUUUCCCAACGCCCUGGACUCUUGGAAGUUGGUGCAGAUCUGGAAAGCUGCCUUGUUGCAGUGUAAAAGUACAAAAGAUGAGUUUAAAAAGCUAUAUAUAAACAGCUUGCAUUAUAUUUUGUAUUUUGUAAAUACUGUAUACCAUAUAUUAUGUAUAUAUUAUUCAUACUUGAGAAGUACAUUAUAGUUCUGUUAUGAAAGUAUGUAUUUUGCCCUGCCCACAUGGCAGGUGAUUUGUGUAUAUAUAUGCAUAUAUAAAAUGUUAUAUGUUAUAAUAUAUAUUUUCUAUAGAUAAUGGAGAAAUUUUAAGGGUGCUAAAGCACAUGGAAAACCAGUUUAUUUGCCCAAGGUACUGAGAGUUUACCAAGAAACAGCUGUCAGAGCUCAAGGUGAAGAUCUAAACGUGAAUAGUUUACCAAUGCACUACUGAAGAUUAAGUCUGUGGCACAAUCAUUGUAAACAAUGGAGUCUGUCUUUAUUUAAAUUGAUUUCUACCUUCCAAUCUAUAAUUACUGGAAAAACUCCUCUCCCUAUUUCUACCAAAUUUAAUUUCUUGUUUUUGGUACAUAUGCAUUAUUCAAAUUUAAGAUGCCUCUAAUUUUAAGGCCAACAAAAUCAGUUAUAAUUAAAUUUUAAAGUAAUAAUAAUUUGGCUUUCCCCCUUUAAACUAGUCUUGACUUUUUGUGUCUGACUGUUCUGUGUGUGACCAUGAGAUG